rnacentral:rRNA from 1 species
CGCAAUGGGCGAAAGCCUGAUGGAGCAACGCCGCGUGCAGGAGGAAGGCCUUCGGGUUGUAAACUGCUUUUAUCUGUGAUGAUUUUGACAGUAGCAGAUGAAUAAGGAUCGGCUAACUCCGCGCCAGCAGCCGCGGUCAUACGGAGGAUCCAAGCGUUAUCCGGAAUUACUGGGCGUAAAGAGUUGCGUAGGUGGCAUAGUAAGCAAAUAGUGAAAGACUACGGCUCAACCGUAGGUACAUUAUUCGAACUGCUAAGCUAGAGCAUAAGAGAGGUAGCUGGAAUUUCUAGUGUAGGAGUGAAAUCCGUAGAUAUUAGUUUUAAUACGACUCACU